rnacentral:rRNA from 2 species
UCGAAUCUUUGAACGCACAUUGCGCCCGCCAGUAUUCUGGCGGGCAUGCCUGUCCGAGCGUCAUUU